rnacentral:rRNA from 1 species
CCUACGGGACGCACCAGUGGGGAAUAUUGCACAAUGGGCGCAAGCCUGAUGCAGCCAUGCCGCGUGUAUGAAGAAGGCCUUCGGGUCGUAAAGUACUUUCAGCGGGGAGGAAGGCGAUAAGGUUAAUAACCUUGUCGAUUGACGUUACCCGCAGAAGAAGCAUCGGCUAACUCCGUGCCAGCAGCCGCGGUAAUACGGAGGGUGCAAGCGUUAAUCGGAAUUACUGGGCGUAAAGCGCACGCAGGCUGUCUGUCCAGUCGGAUGUGUAAUCCCCGGGCUCAACCCGGGAACUGCAUUCGAAACUGGCAGGCUAGAGUCUUGUAGAGGGGGGUAGAAUUCCAGGUGUAGCGGUGAAAUGCGUAGAGAUCUGGAGGAAUACCGGUGGCGAAGGCGGCCCCCUGGACAAAGACUGACGCUCAGGUGCGAAAGCGUGGGGAGCAAACAGGAUUAGAUACCCCUGUAGUC